rfam:Pontibacter sp. BAB1700 contig15, whole genome shotgun sequence.
UAAAUGUGAAGACCAGUUAUCACAUAAAAAAACGGGGUAAGGCCGAAAAACCACAGGAGUAGGAAAUCU